rnacentral:rRNA from 1 species
AAUCAACGCUGGCGGCGUGCCUCAGACAUGCAAGUCGAACGCGAAAGUCCCCUUCGGGGGAUGAGUAGAGUGGCGCACGGGUGAGUAACACGUAGGUAAUCUACCUUCGGGUGGGGAAUAACAACCGGAAACGGUUGCUAAUACCGCAUAAUGCAGCGGCACCUAAUGGUGACAGUUGUCAAAGCGGGGGAUCGCAAGACCUCGCGCCUGAAGAGGAGCCUGCGGCGGAUUAGCUAGUUGGCAGGGUAACGGCCUACCAAGGCGACGAUCCGUAGCCGGCCUGAGAGGGCGGUCGGCCACACUGACACUGACAUACGGGUCAGACUCCUACGGGAGGCAGCAGUCGGGAAUUUGGGCAAUGGGCGAAAGCCUGACCCAGCAACGCCGCGUGAAGGAUGAAAUCCCUCGGGAUGUAAACUUCGCAAGAACGGGGAGAAUAAGCCGGUGUCAACACCACCGGCGAUGACGGUACCGUUUGUAAGCUCCGGCUAACUCCGUGCCAGCAGCCGCGGUAA